GACGGCCGGGGAGGGAGGACGGGUGGAGGGGUCGGGAGGAACGGGGGGCGGGAAAGAUCCGCCGGGCCGCCGGCACGGCCGGACCCGCCGCCGGGUUGAAUCCUCCGGGCGGACUGCGCGGACCCCACCCGUUUACCUCUUAACGGUUUCACGCCCUCUUGAACUCUCUCUUCAAAGUUCUUUUCAACUUUCCCUUACGGUACUUGUUGACUAUCGGUCUCGUGCCGGUAUUUAGCCUUAGAUGGAGUUUACCACCCGCUUUGGGCUGCAUUCCCAAGCAACCCGACUCCGGGAAGACCCGGGCCCGGCGCGCCGGGGGCCGCUACCGGCCUCACACCGUCCACGGGCUGGGCCUCGAUCAGAAGGACUUGGGCCCCCCACGAGCGGCGCCGGGGAGUGGGUCUUCCGUACGCCACAUUUCCCGCGCCCCACCCAAGGGCGGGGAUUCGGCGCUGGGCUCUUCCCUGUUCACUCGCCGUUACUGAGGGAAUCCUGGUUAGUUUCUUUUCCUCCGCUGACUAAUAUGCUUAAAUUCAGCGGGUCGCCACGUCUGAUAUCGGAAGAGACCCAGAGCGGGGCGAAGGAGUCAACCUCAGCAAAGCCACGGAGCCCACGGGCCCGAGGCCGGCCAGCCCCGCUCCGGGGAAGGGACGGCGGACAACCCCAGAGGAGAGGAGGACUGCCUGACACGCACGGCACGGAGCCAACGGAACGGGGUCGUCGCGACCGCCCCAGGUGCCCGCAGCAGGGAGCGCACACGCAGGCAGACGGGAGCCCGCCCGCCCGCACCGGCCUUUCCCCGCCACACCCAGGUGAGUCGGAAGAGACCCGGGCCCAGGGCGGCACCAGGGAGCCGGGACACUCAGACGGAUGCACGGGAGGCAAGGCACACGGGCCCCAGCCGGCGGCUCAACCCAGAGCAGGGCCGGCUAGCCGGGUCACCGGUAGACCAGAGACCCCCCACGCAUCCAGAGGCCCGACCUCUCCAGCGACGGGUCGCCAGAGGACAGCGUGUCAGCAAUAACCCGGUGGCACAAAACGACAACUCAGAGUGAAAGAUACACCCCGCCCAGGGGGCAGGGGGUCUAGUCACCGGCCACACCGCCGACUCAGAAAUGCGUGACACGGACAUCUGUCCCCAAAAAGGCCACCAUCACAGCCAGACAUGGAGCACCCAGGGCUGUCUGGUCGACCUAAAGACACACACACACACACACACACACACACACACACACACACACACACACACCAGGGAGCAGCCCUUCCCGGGCACGCCCUCCGGGCCACCGGUGCCACGCAGGGGCCGGCCCGUGCCUUCAGAAACAGACUCUUUCGGCCGUCCCCUCACACGCGAGGGACACACGACACGAGGGACCGAAGGCGCUCAGGGACCACUCUCCGACCACGAAGGCGGACUCGGAAGUAAAGCGUCACAGCAGAGGGACCGCGGCCAGGCGCGGCACCCCGGGAGGACGGCGCAGGAAGGCCACCGACUCCCCACAGGGACUCGGGAAAGAAAUCCGGCGGGUGGGUGGGUGCCUCUGGCGGCCAGGGCCCGCGCUGGCCCGCCACAGGGCCGUGGAGUGGCGUCCCCGGCCACCCGCGCCACGCCCGGAGGGUCCCCGCGGGUCGCGGGUCGGGCCUCGGGAGCUACGGCGUACUGGUCGACCGGCCCGGGCAGCCCCGACACCUCGCUCGGGCCUGGAAACUCGGCGACAGCCUGCCCCCAUACAGCCCUGCACGCCCGAGCUCUGACUCACAAGUGACUCGCCAGAGCUCUGGCGCCACAGGGACAGCCCCGCUGACGGCCGCAGGCUUUCCGGAGCAAUGACUAGCUCACAGCGGGGACGGUCCCCUCCCUCGGCAGCUGUCACCGGAGCUCCAGAAGCCAAGAAAACCAUAUAAAAGCGGCCGCCAGAUGGAGCCCGACAACCGGCGACGACCAGGUCCCCAAACCUGUCACCGAGAGAGAUCCAGAUGGCAGGGCGGCCGGCGGACGGCAAAACCGAAACCGUGAGUCGAGAAAAGUCUGGCCGAGGCCGAAGACACAGCCCCUCCACCCCAACCCCACAGAAACCGUCCUCCAAACGUGUCUCUGCGUAGACCGAGACAGGCUCCAAAGACAAGCCCACGACGUGUGGCUGUUUGGACAUGCAUCUCGGAGGGAGAAAGAACACACAGGACUCGGUCGCGAGUCGUUCAGGUGACAGAGAGACACAGAAUGAGGACACUUUCACAAUCAAACCUGGGGUGUGGGGGAGGGAGGGAGGGAGGGAGGGAGGGAGGGAGGGGGGAUAGAAAAAAGACACAUGGAGGAAGGAGAGAGGGAAGAAAGGAAGCAGGGUGGGGGGAGGAAGGACAUGGAGAAAACAGAAAUUUUAAAAUCUGGAGAAAAUAGAUGAUGAAAGACAGGUGGAAAAUGAAGAAAGAUGAAGAAGAGAAAGAAUGAGGAAAGAGGUGAAGGAAAAAAGGGCGAAAGAGACAAAAAAAGUAUAAAAGACAAAGAAAGAGAGAAAAAAAGGAAAGGAACAGAAAAAAGGAAAGAAGGGAGGGAGGGAGGGAGGGAGGGAGGGAGGGAGGGAGGGAGGGAGGAGGGAAAGAAAGAGAAAAACACAGAGCAAGAAGAAAGGAAGGCAGAAAGAAGAGGCUAAUGCCAUUUUCGGCAUUAGCCCCCACCUGCAUUUAGGUAAAAAUCUAAAAAAAGGGAAAAAGAAAAGAAAGGAAGGAAGGCAGAGAGAAGAAAGAAAGAAAAUAGACAAAAUGAAAUUUCUUGCUAAACAUAAUCGGGCCUGGCGACAGAGCUAGGCUCCAUCUCGAAAGAAAGGCAGGGAGACAGAAAGAAAGAGCAACAGAGAAAGACAGACAGACAGACAGAGAAAAAGAGAGAGAGAGAGAGAGAGAGAGAGAGAGAGAGAGAGAGAGAGAGAGGCCAAGCAAGGUGGCUCAUGCCUGUCAUCCCAGCACUUUGGGAGGCCGAGGCGGGCGGAUCACAGGGUCAGCAGUUCGAGACCAGCCUGGCCAAAACGUUGAAACCCCGUCUCUACUAAAAAUACAAAAAUUACCUGGGCGCGGUGGCACACGCCCGCCAUCCCAGCCACUCAGGAGGCUGAGGCAGGAGAAUCGCUUGAACCAUGGAGGCCGGAGGUCACCGUGAGCCGAGAUCGCGCCAUCGCACUCCAGCCUGGGUGACAGGCUGAGACUCUGUCUCAAAAGAAAAAAGAAAUAAAAAAUAAAAAAAGAAAAAGAAAGGCCACACAAGAAACACAGAAACAUCGAAAGAAACACAGGAACAAUGAACGAAACCCAGAAACGACAAAAGAAACAAACAAGAAAGAAAGAAAGAAAGAAAGAAAGAAAGAAAGAAAGAAAGAAAGAAAGAAAGAAAGAAAGAACUGGAAAAGGCAAUUAGGAAGAGAGAAACAAAGGAGAAAGGAUAGACAGAUUUCCUUUCGAAAGAUCCUCUAACAGCAUAGUAAGGCCCAGGGAGGGGCUGCGACCCACCUUCCACCUUACGAAUACGGUUGGCCAGGAAAAUAUAAAUACCACGUGUAACGUCACCGUUAAACGUGACUAUGAGCCGGGCGCGGUGGCUCACGCCUGUCAUCCCAGCAUUCUGGGGGGCUGAGUCGGGUGGGCCACCUGAGGUCAGGAGUCCAACAACAGGCUGACCGACAUGGUGAAACCCCGUCUCUGCUAAAAAUACCAAAAAAAAAAAAAAAAGGGACCCACUUCCGUUACUUGCUGCUGUGGACGAUAGGCAGCUGGGGUCGGUGAAGGAUUCCAAGAUGGCUGGGCGAAAACUUGCUCUAAAAACCAUUGACUGGAUAGCUUUUUGGGAGAUCAUACCCCAAAACCAAAAGGCCAUUGCUAAUUCCCUGAAAUCCUGGAAUGAGAUCCUAACCUCCAGGUUGGCUGCUUUACCUGAGAAUCCACCAUCUAUUGACUGGGCUUACUACAAGGCCAAUGUGGCCAAAGCAGGCUUGGUGGAUGACUUUGAGAAGAAGUUUAAUGCCCUGAAGGUUCCUAUACCAGAGGAUCCAUAUACUGCCCUGGUGGAUGCUGAAGAAAAAGAAGAUGUGAAGUCUU
ensembl:lncRNA